rnacentral:rRNA from 1 species
UCGGGAAUUUUGCGCAAUGGGCGAAAGCCUGACGCAGCAACGCCGCGUGAGGGAUGAAGGCCUUCGGGUUGUAAACCUCUUUUCUCAGGGGAAAUGAUGACGGUACCUGAGGAAGAAGCCACGGCUAACUACGUGCCAGCAGCCGCGGUAAUACGUAGGGUGCAAGCGUUGUCCGGAAUUAUUGGGCGUAAAGAGCUCGUAGGCGGUUCGUCGCGUCGGCUGUGAAAACCCGGAGCUCAACUCCGGGCCUGCAGUCGAUACGGGCGGACUAGAGUUCGGCAGGGGAGACUGGAAUUCCUGGUGUAGCGGUGAAAUGCGCAGAUAUCAGGAGGAACACCGGUGGCGAAGGCGGGUCUCUGGGCCGAUACUGACGCUGAGGAGCGAAAGCGUGGGGAGCGAA